rnacentral:rRNA from 1 species
GGACUACUGGGGUAUCUAAUCCUGUUCGCUCCCCACGCUUUCGCUCCUCAGUGUCAGGUAAGGCCCAGAGAACCGCCUUCGCCACCGGUGUUCCUCCUGAUAUCUGCGCAUUUCACCGCUACACCAGGAAUUCCAUUCUCCCCUACCUACCUCUAGUCUGCCCGUAUCCACUGCAAGUCCAGGGUUGAGCCCUGGAUUUUCACAGCGGACGUGACAGACCACCUACGAGCUCUUUACGCCCAAUGAUUCCGGACAACGCUUGCGCCCUACGUGUUACCGCGGCUGCUGGCAC